UCAGUUCAAGUGAGACUACCCCCUGAAUUUAAGCAUAUUACUAAGGGGAGGAAAAGAAACUAAC
rnacentral:rRNA from 1 species